AAUAAAUCAAUUUUUCAAUUUUUAUCUUUAAUUUUUAACUCUUCGUCUUAUUUAAAUUCUUUUAUAAUUGAUAUUUUUGUUUUUAUUAGAUGAUAAAUUAUAAAUAGUACUUUAUGUGUGACUAAUUUUUUUUUAAUUUACUGAAAAUUUUUCUAAUAAAACGGAUGAUCAAAAGUUAAACACAGAAACCGA
rnacentral:pre_miRNA from 1 species